UGGUUCCAGACCACUGCAAUAAAGCAAAUAUCGAAAUAAAGUGAGUCACACAAAUAUUUUGGUUUCCCAGCGCAUGUAAAAGUUAUGUUUAUAUUAUACUGUAGUCUUUUAAGUGUGCACUAUCAUUAUGUCUAAAAAUACAAAU